rnacentral:rRNA from 1 species
GAUGAACGCUGGCGGCGUGCCUAAUACAUGCAAGUCGAGCGAACAGAUGAGGAGCUUGCUCCUCUGACGUUAGCGGCGGACGGGUGAGUAACACGUGGAUAACCUACCUAUAAGACUGGGAUAACUUCGGGAAACCGGAGCUAAUACCGGAUAAUAUAUUGAGCCGCAUGGUUCAAUAGUGAAAGACGGUUUUGCUGUCACUUAUAGAUGGAUCCGCGCCGCAUUAGCUAGUUGGUAAGGUAACGGCUUACCAAGGCAACGAUGCGUAGCCGACCUGAGAGGGUGAUCGGCCACACUGGAACUGAGACACGGUCCAGACUCCUACGGGAGGCAGCAGUAGGGAAUCUUCCGCAAUGGGCGAAAGCCUGACGGAGCAACGCCGCGUGAGUGAUGUAGGUCUUCGGAUCGUAAAACUCUGUUAUUAGGGAAGAACAAAUGUGUAAGUAACUAUGCACGUCUUGACGGUACCUAAUCAGAAAGCCACGGCUAACUACGUG